UACGAAGGGGGCUAGCGUUGCUCGGAAUUACUGGGCGUAAAGGGUCUGUAGGUGGCCAAUUAAGUCAGACGUGAAAUCCCUCAGCUUAACUGGGGAACUGCGUCUGAGACUGGAUGGCUCGAGUGCAGGAGAGGAAUGCGGAAUUCCAGGUGUAGCGGUGAAAUGCGUAGAUAUCUGGAGGAACACCGGUGGCGAAGGCGGCAUUCUGGACUGCAACUGACACUGAAAGACGAAAGCCAGGGGAGCAAACGGG
rnacentral:rRNA from 1 species